UUGACCUCGGAUCAGGUAGGGAUACCCGCUGAACUUAAGCAUAUCAAUAAGCGGAGGAAAAGAAACCAACAGGGAUUGCCCCAGUAACGGCGAGUGAAGCGGCAAGAGCUCAAAUUUGAAAGCUGGCCCCCUCGGGGUCCGCAUUGUAAUUUGCAGAGGAUGCUUCGGGAGUGGCCCCCAUCUAAGUGCUCUGGAACGGGCCGUCAUAGAGGGUGAGAAUCCCGUAUGGGAUGGGGUGUCCGCGACCAUGUGAAGCUCCUUCGACGAGUCGAGUUGUUUGGGAAUGCAGCUCUAAAUGGGUGGUAAAUUUCAUCUAAAGCUAAAUAUUGGCCGGAGACCGAUAGCGCACAAGUAGAGUGAUCGAAAGAUGAAAAGCACUUUGAAAAGAGAGUUAAAAAGCACGUGAAAUUGUUGAAAGGGAAGCGCUUGCGACCAGACUCGCCUACGGGGUUCAGCCGGUAUUCGUACCGGUGUACUUCCCCGUGGGCGGGCCAGCGUCGGUUUGGGCGGCCGGUCAAAGGCCCUCGGAAUGUAACGCCUCUCGGGGCGUCUUAUAGCCGAGGGUGCCAUGCGGCCAGCCCAGACCGAGGAACGCGCUUCGGCACGGACGCUGGCAUAAUGGUCGUAAGCGACC
rnacentral:rRNA from 1 species